GAGUUUGAUCAUGGCUCAGAAUCAACGCUGGCGGCGUGCCUAACACAUGCAAGUCGAACGAGAAAGUGGAGCAAUCCAUGAGUAAAGUGGGCGACCGGGUGAGUAACACGUGACCAAUCUACCCUUGAGUGGGGGAUAACCUCGGGAAACCGGGGCUAAUACCGCAUAACAUCUUCGGGACGGAAGUGCUGAAGAUCAAAGGAGCAAUUCGCUUAAGGAGGAGGUCGCGGCUGAUUAGCUAGUUGGCGGGGUAAUGGCCCACCAAGGCAGAGAUCGGUAGCCGGCCUGAGAGGGCGCACGGCCACACUGGAACUGAAACACGGUCCAGACUCCUACGGGAGGCAGCAGUGGGGAAUUUUGCGCAAUGGGGGAAACCCUGACGCAGCAACGCCGCGUGGAGGAUGAAGUCCCUUGGGACGUAAACUCCUUUCGACCCGGACGAUAAUGACGGUACGGGUGGAAGAAGCCCGGCUAACUUCGUGCCAGCAGCCGCUGU
rnacentral:rRNA from 1 species